GCUCGCGCAGCUGGACGCGCUCGAGCGGCGCCUGUCGCACGCGCCCGCACUCCCGCCCUCCGCGAACAGGGAGGCGGGGCCGGCGGCGGAGCGGCUGCAGCGGGUGCGCGAGCUGCUGCUGACCACCAGCGCCAACCCCUCCGACCACACCAGUCUCUCCAUCAGGCUCAGCCUCGUCAAGGCUCGCGAGGCGGAGCUGGGGGAGCUGGCCGAGCUGGCGGCGGAGCGGGGCGCCGCGCCGCACCUCGCCGCGGACCUCGCUCAGGUAACUGACACUCCUGUACGACAUUUUCUUUUAUUUAUUAGCAAACCGAACUUUCAAUCACCCGAAGGCGGAUUUGAAGAUUCACAGUAUUGUUAUAUUUUCAUGAAU